rnacentral:rRNA from 1 species
AGCACGGGAGCAAUCCUGGUGGCGAGUGGCGAACGGGUGAGUAAUGUAUCGGAACGUACCUUUCAGUGGGGGAUAACGUAGCGAAAGUUACGCUAAUACCGCAUAUUCUGUGAGCAGGAAAGCAGGGGAUCGCAAGACCUUGCGCUGAUUGAGCGGCCGAUAUCAGAUUAGCUAGUUGGUGAGGUAAAGGCUCACCAAGGCGACGAUCUGUAGCGGGUCUGAGAGGAUGAUCCGCCACACUGGAACUGAGACACGGUCCAGACUCCUACGGGAGGCAGCAGUGGGGAAUUUUGGACAAUGGGGGCAACCCUGAUCCAGCCAUGCCGCGUGAGUGGAGAAGGCCUUCGGGUUGUAAAGCUCUUUCAGCCGGGAAGAAAUCACAUGGGUUAAUACCCUGUGUGGAUGACGGUACCGGAAUAAGAAGCACCGGCUAACUACGUGCCAGCAGCCGCGGUAAUACGUAGGGUGCGAGCGUUAAUCGGAAUUACUGGGCGUAAAGCGUGCGCAGGCGGUUUGUUAAGAUAGGCGUGAAAUCCCCGGGCUCAACCUGGGAACUGCGUUUAUGACUGGCAGG